UAACGCGUGAGCAAUCUGCCUUUGGAUGGGGGAUAACAGCCGGAAACGGCUGCUAAUACCGCAUAAUGCAACGGGACCGCAUGGUUCUGCUGCCAGAGAUUUAUUGUCCAAAGAUGAGCUCGCGUCUGAUUAGCCAGUUGGCGGGGUAACGGCCCACCAAAGCGACGAUCAGUAGCCGGACUGAGAGGUUGAACGGCCACAUUGGGACUGAGACACGGCCCAGACUCCUACGGGAGGCAGCAG
rnacentral:rRNA from 1 species